rnacentral:rRNA from 1 species
AGUGCACGCUGGCGGUAGGCCUAACACAUGCAAGUCGAACGGCAGCACAGGAGAGCUUGCUCUCUGGGUGGCGAGUGGCGGACGGGUGAGGAAUACAUCGGAAUCUACUCUGUCGUGGGGGAUAACGUAGGGAAACUUACGCUAAUACCGCAUACGACCUACGGGUGAAAGCAGGGGACCUUCGGGCCUUGCGCGAUUGAAUGAGCCGAUGUCGGAUUAGCUAGUUGGCGGGGUAAAGGCCCACCAAGGCAACGAUCCGUAGCUGGUCUGAGAGGAUGAUCAGCCACACUGGAACUGAGGCACGGUCCAGACUCCUACGGGAGGCAGCAGUGGGGAAUAUUGGACAAUGGGCGCAAGCCUGAUCCAGCCAUACCGCGUGGGUGAAGAAGGCCUUCGGGUUGUAAAGCCCUUUUGUUGGGAAAGAAAUCCAGCUGGCUAAUACCCGGUUGGGGUGACGGUACCCAAAGAAUAAGCACCGGCUAACUUCGUGCCAGCAGCCGCCGUAA